GAGAGGUUUAGAAGACCUGCUAACUCUUCAAUUGGCAAA
rnacentral:tRNA from 1 species